rnacentral:misc_RNA from 1 species
UAAUUCCGGGAUGGUGUCACUUUAGUUGCAUAUUAUUUUUAAGAAAUUGAAAAUCAUUCAGAAAACAUAGGAAAAAAUAAACAAUGGUGACAAGUUAGUGAUUCUCUGUAUUUUAUCAACUAGUGAGCAUAUUUGGAUUCUUAAACUGAGCUAGCAAACCUAACCUCUGGUGCGCGGUACAACGGUCAAAGAGUGCAACCGGAUGCAAGUACAGUACAAGAAAAUUGCGGUUGGACCGAAUCCUUUGUGGACAAUUGUUACGCUAUCCCUUCGCAUCCUACUAAUACCUAGAUAGUAUCUACCGAUUUUCGAUUAUCUACCGUCUCCGCAGUAACGUACAGUGGGUACAAGACGAUACCUAAUCAAGCGUUUGGAAAUGUUUACUGUCUACAGAAAUUGAUCUCUGGAUGAUGGAUUCUAAUACAUCAAGUGGGUCUAAGCCGACUUUCUCGUUCGGCCGCGAGGACGACCGGGAUGUAGAAAACUUAUCUCAAAUUUACGAAGAUGCUUUUGCUCUCUUCAAUAAUAUCAACAAAACUCAGGAGGCGACAAAUAGCCCUAAGGUUCAGUCUGAUGUCAGAAAGGCGAUGAACAUGUUGGAAAAUGCAACAAGGCUGGUCUCUUUGUUAAACAUGUUCAGUACUAAUGAGAACUUUGACGAAGUCCCGACAUCAGAUAUAAAGUAUUUGCUAUUGCCAGCUCUGCUUGGCACCUUGACUCUUAAAAUUUGUGGGUCAAAUGAUCGGUUACAUAUUGUGGAAGUUGCUGAAAUUUACUUCACAGAUUUUCUCAAAAGACUCAGGGACUACGGGGUGAUAGACAUGGAAAUUCCGGAAUAUAAAUCGGAUGAAGAAAAGUCUGUCUGUAAGCAAUUGUCCAACACGGAGAAGAUCACUUCUAUGGUGUCAUCACGCAAUGCUAAGCUGCAGAGAUACAAGGAGCAGAAAGAACUAGAAAGCCGGCUGCAGAUGCUGCAGGAGAAUAUGACGAACCCAAAUAUCGACGAGGAGUCAAAAAGAGAAUACUAUUUAACUUUAAUUAAAUCGUACGUAAAUCAGGCACUGCAAGAGUUGAGUUCAAUCGCCGCAGAGAAACCCAUUAUAGAGCAUAUGAUGAAAGUUGGACACACUGAGUUUCCAGCAUCCCAAAACUCGAAAAAAUUCAAAGCACCUGCUAUCAAACUUCAGCCCAUCAUCAUCACCAGAGAUGAAGUCCAGAAAAAAGUUUAUGGUGCGGGAUAUCCGAGUCUGCCUGUUUUAACUGUCCAAGAAUUUUAUGAAAAAAGAGUCAAAGAUGGAGAUUGGCCAGAUCCCUCCCAGAGAAAUCAAAUGGGAGGCAAGAGUUUACAGGAUUUCAAUAAUGACAGAGAUGGACCCAAAGAAGAGGAUAUUGAGGAUGAAGCAAAAGAGAAACAGGUAGAGCUGGACGAUCCUGAACUUCUUGCGCGAACUCGUGCAAUGGACGAGUACAAAGAUACACACAGGAGGGGUUGGGGAAACCGAGCCAAUAGGAGUUGAAUCAACUAAUCCCCCGUGCGAAUAAAUAAUCAAAGAAUUCUUGUUUUCACUAAUAACGAGCUCCGGAUAUCUAGUUUUCGAGUACCCAGGCAUGAAAUCAAGGGUACUUAACAACUCUACACUAAACCUCGUCCAAGCUUCAUGAAACAAAGAAAGAAAAAAAAAAAAAAAAAAACCGGAUCCACUGUAAUUUCAAAACAAGUAAAUCGUAUGUAAUGUUUAUUCGAACAUCAUAAAUAAUCUAUCGAAAUUUCAAAUAUUCAUUGAAAAUAUAAAUUUACAUUGCA